rnacentral:rRNA from 1 species
GGAGGGUGCAAGCGUUAUCCGGAUUUACUGGGUUUAAAGGGUGUGUAGGCGGGCUUUUAAGUCAGUGGUGAAAUCUCCGGGCUCAACCCGGAAACUGCCAUUGAUACUAUUAGUCUUGAAUUUUGUUGAGGUAGGCGGAAUAAGUCAUGUAGCGGUGAAAUGCUUAGAUAUGACUUAGAACACCAAUUGCGAAGGCAGCUUGCUAAACAAAUAUUGACGCUGAGGCACGAAAGCGUGGGGAUCAAACAGGAUUAGAUACCCUGGUAGUCCACGCCCUAAACGAUGAUUACUCGACAUACGCGAUACACAGUGUGUGUCUGAGCGAAAGCAUUAAGUAAUCCACCUGGGAAGUACGACCGCAAGGUUG